CCUUGACAUGGCUGGAAUCCUGAAGAGAUUUGGGAGUGCUCGAAAGAGAACCAGUACACAGGUGCUGCAUGGCUGUCGUCAGCUCGUGUCGUGAGAUGUUGGGUUAAGUCCCGCAACGAGCGCAACCCUUGUCAUUAGUUGCUACGAAAGGGCACUCUAAUGAGACUGCCGGUGACAAACCGGAGGAAGGUGGGGAUGACGUCAAGUCCUCAUGGCCCUUAUGGGUAGGGCUUCACACGUCAUACAAUGGUACAUACAGAGCGCCGCCAACCCGCGAGGGGGAGCUAAUCGCAGAAAGUGUUUCGUAGUCCGGAUUGUAGUCUGCAACUCGACUGCAUGAAGUUGGAAUCGCUAGUAAUCGCGGAUCAGCAUGUCGCGGUGAAUACGUUCCCGGGUCUUGUACACACCGCCCGUCACACCAUGGGAGCGGGUUUUACCAGAAGUAGGUAGCUUAACCGUAAGGAGGGCGCUUACCACGGUAGGAUUCGUGACUGGGGUGAAGUCGUAACAAGGUAGCCGU
rnacentral:rRNA from 1 species